GGCGUGGGCGUGGGUGGGGGGUUUUAGGGUGAGGGAGGGCUCAGGGCUGGGGGAGCGGCGCAGCUAGCUUAGGGCUUAGGGUUAGGGGCCGGUCGGCGGCAGCGGCGGCGGCGGCGCUACUCGCACCACCCCGAGCUGCACCCGUUGCUGUGGGACCACCGCCGCCGCCGCGCCGUCGCACCCUAGCUGCACGACGAGUUGCGGCUCAGGUUCGCGCUCAGCGGCCGGCGGCAGCGGAAGAGGGUGUCGCGCGCGGACGACCCGCGCGUGCGCAGGCCGCGGCGUAGGAGGGUGCGGGGGAAGAGGUCGGGGUUCGCGGAGGAGGAGGAGCGGAGGGCGGGGCGGGGGGCGCUGGAGGGCGCGGAGGGGAAGGGGCAGCUGCAGCGGGCGAGGCCGCGGCCGCCCCCGCGGGCGCAGGUGCAGCUGGUGGAGCCGGCGGCGUAGCGCGAGAGGGGCUGGGUGUAGGAGCGGUACAACGAGCGGAUGGACGCGGUCGAGCGGCUCCUGCUGGAGCCCCGGGGGCAGCGGCUGACGCACUAGAGGCAGGGGACGAUGGAGUGCGUCCGCGUCGCGGCGCGGAUGCAGCUGCGGCGCCGGCAGCGCCCCGAGGCGGGCGAGGCGGAGUACGUGCUGGAGCGGCGGUGGCGGGAGCCGAUGCCGGAGAUGGCGAGGCUGGAGCCGCAGCGGCCCCCGGGGUGGAAGCAGCGGAAGCAGCUGCAGCCGGUGAGGCUGUGGGUCCGGCCCCAGCAGCGGAAGCUGCGCAGGCCCUACUUCCACGACAGCGUGCCGAAGCUACGCCUGGACCCGCCGGCCCUGAAACUGCUCCACGACAAGCUCGUAAAGCGACUCCUCAAGUCCCUGUCCAUAUUCUAGCUACAGCACCCAUUACACUUCCGCUCGUACUCCGACUCCCGGCGGACACUCUUCCGCUUCUUCCACAACUCGCGCUUGCGGCUCCGGCACCAGUUGUAUCUCACGGAGUACCUCCUCUUCCUGCACUCCCCCUACUAGGCCUCCCUUCUGAAACUCUUCGAGACACGACUCAACGACCUCUCUCAACAACUCGGCACGUCCGCCCGCUACCGUCUAAGUCCAUAACCUAACCUAUUCGACGUCAGACACCUCGAGCAACCCAGUCCCAGAGCCCAUGGACGAUAACGAUCUCAAGACCGGCCUAAGAAAUCUUCCCUCGGAUCAGCGUGUUAGUUACAGUCACUCACGCACCGAGCACCAACGCGCAACGUCACACGUUACGAAUCAGGGUGUAAGGCACAAGCCCUCAUACUCCACGUUCUACAUUAGGGACGGAGUUAUCCUAAAACGUGUUUACUUCCGGGUUAUAGUCGUAACUGUUCGUUGCGUAACAAGGCCUCUCCGGUCGGGGAAGGAUCACAAUUCUAUUAAUGAAACGUAUCCUGGUCACCAAAAUGAAACCUACGAAAAAUGCACCUACUCUUACUUGACGGGGGACCGUGGAGUUGUGUUUAGCCAUCAAAACUCUAACCUGGAAAGGUUCGUGUAUCACUUUUUAGAUUUCACUUUCAUUUUUAGGCCAAUUUAGAGGUACCUGAAUAAAGUCACCUUAGUCGACAAAACUAACUGCUACUAGUUUCCCUACGUUUAAGACGACUGAGAUACCUCGAGCUAAGGUUACUAUUGUACCUAGUGUUCAGCUCUUUACUUGGCGGUUACGUGGCCGUCCUGAACGUUUAACAACUCAGAUAAAUACCGCAUUACUCGUUCGUCCUUAACGACCUUCGAGUUCUCGUUCUUGUUGUUGACCGGAUAGUCCUAUUUGAACAGCUCGCUUGCUUUCUCUCCUUCUUGCGUAACCUUAGGAUGCACAUGCUGUGGGCAUUAUUCGAAAGACUCUCCAUAGCCUCGAAACGAUGACUAAGACUUUCCCUUCUUUAGAGUCAAUUAGAUGUCGUCUGUCUUCUAACCGAAAUACUUCUUCCACUACUACUCUGACUUCGUCAAAUGUGAUCAUUUGAGCUCCUCGAUUUUUUCGAACAUCUAGGGUAACUUAUAGCAACAUUUCUACUCCUUCGGUCUCGACUUCGAUGUUCCCUCGAAGACUUCACGUAACAACUGGUAUCUUACCGACGGUUCAGUAAUAGACGCGGACUUGCUCUACGAUAACUGUUACUCACGUGAUUUCAACUCGACACCGACUCCCUCUCGAGCGUUGAUGUCCUCAGGAACGGGUUCUUACAACUGGGACAUCAAACCAGAGUACUUUAGUUCUUUUUCCUUCUCCUCGACCUGUACAGUACAUCGUUUUAUCAUUGAUCGUCCCGUGCCCCCGUACUGUUGCUACUACCUACGAUCGUCCAAGUCUAGUUUACGUAUUUAGUCUAUCUCUAUAAUCUGGAACGACUCCUAAGGGACGUCUUACCGGUACCGGUCCAAACUGUAAAACAUCUUUAUAUGCCUGCAUGCCUAUAGAAGAUUGGAACGGUAUGCUAGUUGAGACAUGGUGUGACGGGCGGUAACCCACGGACGUAGAGUCAUGUGACUGCACGUCAAAAGUGAUCGGUACUAACAACUAUGUACACUUAAGAAAAAGAAGCAUUAGUCUAUUUCCAACAGCAGACGAAAUCAAACUACACUUGCUUGUUCUACUCUUUACCUUCGUUUAAACACACGUUACAUAGAUGAAUGGUUCCUCAGCAGACGAAAUCAAACUACACUUGCUUGUUCUACUCUUUACCUUCGUUUAAACACACGUUACAUAGAUGAAUGGUUCCUCAGCAGACGAAAUCAAAGUACACUUGCUUGUUCUACUCUUUACCUUCGUUUAAACACACGUUACAUAGAUGAAUGGUUCCUGGCGUAUCAAUAUUGAACGACAUAAGUACAUACCUUCUAUACUAGUUACUGGUAUCUAGAAGUACGAACUUACAAAACAACGUCACUCUAAAAUGAAAACUUACUCAACUAAAAUAACAC
rnacentral:rRNA from 1 species